CUACAUUCAAUUGGUUAUUAUGUUUUAAGGACUUUUGAGUCUAUGUUUAUGAGGGAUAAACAUCAAAGUUGUAUAAUGCCUUUGUCUCGAUUUGGAAUCGGCAAUACUGGGUUCAUAAAAUAAGAUAGGAAAUGUCCCUUUAAAUUUUCUUUUUUUUUUUUUUUUUUUUGAGACGGAGAUUCACUCUUGUUGCCCAGGCUGGAGUGCAAUGGCACAAUUUCGGCUCUCCACAAUCUCUGCCUCCCAGAUUCAAGCUAUUCUCCUGCCUCUGUCUCCCAAGGAGCUGGGAUUACAGAUGAAAGCACCAUUAUCAAGUAAGAAGAGCACAAGUCAAGCCACUGCUGGUGUGCAAUGGUGCGACUUCCGCUCACUACACUUCCACCUUCUGGGAUUCAAGCCAUUCUCCUGCCUCAGCCUCCGGAGUAGCUGGGACUACAGGCAUGUGCCACCAUGCCCGGCUAAUUUUUGUAUUUUUAGUAGAGGCAGGGAUUCACCACAUUGGUCAGGCUGGUCUCGAACUCCUGGCCUCAAGUGAUCUGCCCGCCUCUGCCUCCCAAAGUGCUGGGAAUACAGGCAUGAGCAACCGCACCCGGCCUGGAUUAAUUGAAAAUUUUCUUCUGUAGAUUGUAAUAUAUUACUAUUGUUAUCUAUUUUAUUGCCCCAAUUUUCUCAAAUUUGGCUAUGGAAGUUUAUUCAAAGUGGAUCUGUUUCCCUUUCACAUUUUCCCCAUUUUGUGAGCAUUUCCUUACUUCCUAACAUGACAAAAUAUUUCAAACUAAUCUUGUAUUUUCCCUGCCCAAUCCUGAUAUCAAAUAUGUCCCCAAGGAGCCUUGGUUCCUUUAAUUGGAGAGUGGUGUUCUCAUUGUUACUGGGAUGAUGUUGUUUCUAGGCCCUUUUGUUAGAGGAGCUAGAAAAUAUAUGUAUGUAUACUCACACAUUUAUACACAUCUGUACUUAUUUAUACAAUUAUCCAUCUGUACGUAUACUAAAAACAAUGAUUUCAUGAAGCUUUUGAUCCCAAUCCAACACUAGAUAAAGACUAUAUAGGCCCAUUUAUUUGCAAGUCAGCACAUAAACAUAGAAGAAUUAUUAACAAUAUAAGCUGUAGCUUAUGCUAAAUGUUGGUAGGAACAGACAAUAAGUUAUGGAGAACUUCAGAGGACACUAAGGUUGGAUGGGAUUUUGGAAGUUGUACAGGUCAAUGCCACUCCAUCUAUUGGCUGAGUUUCACUAGGUUAAUACAUGAACAACAACAAAAAUAACCUAGAUCAGAAGUUAAAGAUCAUUUUAUUGACUAUCUGCCGUGUCUGUGCCAUUGCAGUGUACUAGGUGCACUUACGAGUCCUCUACUUACAAACUGCUUUUCACAAAAUAUGAAACUCCAGGCAAAGGUUCAGACAUACGACGUUUGUUUUUAAAAUCUUUCUACAGCCUUGUAUCCUUUUUCCUUUCCUUCCUUUUACCCUUUUUAAAAUGUGUUAUGAGUUUUAUCUUAGACUAACAUCAUCUGAAAUGUUGCUAUACGCCAGUAUUCAGUUGCUGUGUUUGAUGAAUCAUAAAAUGGUGUAAAACUUCAAUUAGUGUACUUUUUAAAUAAAGUAUCUAUGAAUGCAUCCAGCAAAAUGUUUAUGAUUUGAGUAUUCAGAAAAUAUUACUUUUCUCUGGAUCUAACAAUAAUGUGAAAACCCAAAAUGAAUAUAAAAUGUUAGCUAAUAAUAGAUUUCAAAGUAUUCUACAAGUACGAAAAAUAUAUGAUAUUGUUACUUUCAUAUAUGUAAAACACUAAUAAUUUUUGUCAACAUAAACAUCAUCUUUACACCUAAACUUGUAUUAAUUCAAUUAAGAUUUAAUAUAGUAUCCUAAAGUCAUCAAAUAUUCAAAAAUAGGUUGUAUUCUGACUUGAAAUAUACAUAAAAUUAACUAUUUUCAGCUGAGCACAGUGGCUCAUGCCUGUAAUUCCAGCACUUUGGGAGGCUGAGGUAGGCAGAUUGCUUGAGAUCAGGAGUUUCAGACCAGCCUGGCCAACAUGGUGAAACCCUGUCUCUAUCAAAAAUACAAGUUAGCCAGGCAUGGUGGAACCUGCCUGUAAUCCCAACUACUCUGAAGGCUGAGGCAGGAGAAUCACUUGAACCCAGGAGGCAGAGGUUGCAGUGAGCCAAGAUUGCACCACUGCACUCCAGCCUGG
rnacentral:lncRNA from 1 species